rnacentral:rRNA from 1 species
GUGCCAGCCGCCGCGGUAAUACGGAGGGUGCAAGCGUUGUCCGGAAUUAUUGGGUGUAAAGGGUGCGCAGGCGGAAGCCUAAGUCGGAGGUGAAAUCUUACCGCUCAACGGUAAAAUGGCCUUCGAUACUGGGUUUCUUGAGUCCAGAAGAGGUCGGUGGAAUUCGUGGUGUAGCGGUGAAAUGCAUAGAGAUCACGAAGAACACCAGUGGCGAAGGCGGCCGACUGGUCUGGAACUGACGCUGAGGCACGAGAGCGUGGGGAGCGAACAGGAUUAGAAACCCCGGUAGUCC